CCAGCCGCCGCCAUGACCAGCAGCAUGUGAAGACACCGGUAAGCCACCAGCCACGUGGCAAGGAUUGGGGAGAAGGAAAAAUAUUUUAAACUGUGGAAGACCUCUUGUACCUGGUCCAGAGUAAGCACCUGUUACAAAGAAAGCAGUCGGCAAGAGUUGAUUUAGUGUCGCCAUCAUCAUUGCCACCGAUGCCAUCCAGAGCUGACACCUAAUUUUCUAUUUCUGGUAGGAAUGAUCAAAAUAUAGAGGAAUUGGAAAGACUCAGGACAAUGGACAGGAAGACCAGGUAAAGACCACUGUCCACGCCUCUGAUGCUGACCAGUCCCACUGCCACACUGAUGAAUUCCAGGAUACCUGAAUUUUUAAACAAAUUAAAGAUUUGGAUUGAUUAAUGAACAUAUAGCUACAGGAAGGACAGUGA